rnacentral:lncRNA from 1 species
CAGCGUGCUGCAUCUCAGCCAACUCCAGGAGGGCCUGUCUUGAGAUGCACCUUGUUUGCCCACGGGGGAAACGUGCUUUGGAAAGUGCUGGACACCAUGGCUGUGCAGGCCCAAGAAGGAAGCAUGCUCAUGGCAAUACCCGGAGUCUCCACUGCAAGACCAGAGUGACGGAGGCAGCAGAGCUCCUCAGCAGGCCAGGAGUCUCCAGAGGCACUGCCGAAUGUCUAAGAAGCAACCUCAUUGUAUUCCCAAGACCUGGGAAUCCAGGUCUCGCAGAUACGAUGAUACAAUCUAUAGCCAGGACAUCUCUUCAUGUGUAGUUUUCAAUGAAUACUAGGAUAAGCAACUAUCCCAGUCUUCCCAGGAUUGAGGGGCUUCUCCAGAUGCUGCACUUCUGGUGCUAAAAAUGAGAAACUGAAAUGAAUUAGUCACCCAAGGAAUGCUGACCCUGUGCUAUAUGAUCACAUUUACUCUUUAAAGCAAUGCUUUGAGACAUGAAAGCCAGAUAGGGAAGAAUUUGCAGCCUCAUACUGAUUGGCCAGUUGAGGAGUCAACUCAUCUCUCUUAUAGAAAAAAGAAGAUUACAUUUACGGAAUACAGAAUAUACUGUGCUCUCUACUUACCAAGAGAUUUCUUUCUCUACUGACAACUUUCUGUUGACGUGGUUACUGUGCAGGUUCUGACAGUCGAUUCUUUCCACCUAGUUCACUGCUGAAGCUAUAAUGAUUUCCAUUUUGCAAAAAGAGGAUGAUUACUUAUUAUCUGUGACCAUUUCUCAAUUCCAGAACAAUUGAGCUGCAUAGUCCCUGCAAUCUUAUAAAGGCAUUUGGCCUGGAAGAUGCUCUGCAGCCAUGUGCCAAGAAUAACGGCUAUAGGGACAAUGUUUCAUUAACCCCAAAGCAGCAACCUGAACCUCUUACUGUACAAUAUCUGCUCCGUUCAGAAUUAGCUCGACUUGAGUCACAGGAUGAAGCUUACCAAAAGGAAUUUCCACGUCCAAGGAAGGAACCAAGAUCACUGAGAGGUUAUAGUAUGAAAAGUGAAGAGAAAAAACCUAUUCUAAACAUUUUAUUAAUUGUCAAUAAUUAUUUUAAAAUAUUUAAUAUAGUCUCCUACCUGGUCCACUGGCAUCAAGCUGCCAAAUUUACACGGUCACUUUGGGAAGCCAGCUGGCAGGCAAACAUGGAAAGUGCUGGCUCCUAGCGUAGUGAGAAGACCACAGAUAGAUGGUAAUUUUCUUCUUUGUUUUAUUUUUCUUUUUCUUCUCUCCCUCUUUUUCUUCCCUCUUGCCUUUCCCUCCCAUUGCCCACUUUCUUUUUUUGGCUGCCGAAGAUUUAUUGCCUUUCAGUACUUAUAGAUGAUGUUUUCAUAAGUUCUAAUGAGGUCCCAGCAGUUUUUAACAAUAACAGGACAUUACUGUUCCUAAGAUAUAUUAUGUGUUUUCCCUCAUCUUUCUCCCUUGAAUGAAAUGCUUAGAAGUAGGCUAACCCCCAAUUCCCUUCCCUUUACUAUGAUAAAUGGCUCCAUUACUUAAU